GUGCAGCAGGCGCGAAAACUCCGCAAUGCGCGAAAGCGUGACGGGGUCACCCCGAGUGCCGUCCGCUGAGGAUGGCUUUUGCCUGGUCUAACCAGCCGGAUGAAUAAGGGGAGGGCAAGUCUGGUGUCAGCCGCCGCGGUAAUACCAGCUCCUCGAGUGGUGGGGACGAUUAUUGGGCCUAAAGCGUCCGUAGCCGGCUUGGCAAGUCCUCCGUUAAAUCCGGCGAUUCAAUCGCUAGACUGCGGGGGAUACGACCAGGCUAGGAGGCGGGAGAGGGCGACGGUAGGCCUGGGGUAGGGGUGAAAACCUAUAAUCCCGGGAGGACCACCAGUGGCGAAGGCGGUCGACUAGAACGCGCCCGACGGUGAUGGACGAAAGCUGGGGGAGCGAACCGGAUUAGAUACCCGGGUAGUCC
rnacentral:rRNA from 1 species